rnacentral:rRNA from 1 species
CGAGCGCGAAACGUUACUUCGGUCACAAGUAGAGCGGCGCACGGGUGAGUAACACGUGGAUAAUCUACCCAUCAGUAUGGGAUAACAGUUGGAAAACGACUGCUAAUACCUUAUACGAUCCAGAAACAUAUUUUGGGUGAAAGGCGGCCUCUGCUUGCAAGCUGUCGCUGAUGGAUGAGUCCGCGCCUCAUUAGGUAGACGGCGGGGUAACGGCCCACCGUGCCGACGAUGAGUAGCCGGCCUGAGAGGGUAAUCGGCCACACUGGGACUGGAACACGGCCCAGACUCCUACGGGAGGCAGCAGUGGGGAAUAUUGCGCAAUGGACGCAAGUCUGACGCAGCGACGCCGCGUGAGGGAUGAAGGCCUUCGGGUCGUAAACCUCUGUCAGGAGGGAAGAACGUUACAGGUGCUAAUCAGCCUGUAUUUGACGGUACCUCCAAAGGAAGCACCGGCUAACUCCGUGCCAGCAGCCGCGGUAAUACGGAGGGUGCGAGCGUUAAUCGGAAUCACUGGGCGUAAAGCGCGCGUAGGCGGGCGAUGUAAGUCAGAGGUGAAAUCCCACGGCUCACCCGUGGAACUGCCUUUGAUACUGCAUUGCUUGAGUGUGUGAGAGGAUAGCGGAAUUCCUGGUGUAGGAGUGAAAUCCGUAGAGAUCAGGAGGAACAUCAGUGGCGAAGGCGGCUAUCUGGCACACUACUGACGCUGAGGUGCGAAAGCGUGGGGAUCAAACAGGAUUAGAUACCCUGGUAGUCCACGCUGUAAACGAUGGAUACUGGGUGCCGGGGGCUAGUUCUUCGGUGCCGUAGCUAACGCGUUAAGUAUCCCGCCUGGGGAGUACGGUCGCAAGGCUG